GUUUUUCUAAUAUAAUAAGUAUAAUUGACUUCCAAUCAAUAAGUCCGGUUUUUCCUGGAAAAACA
rnacentral:tRNA from 1 species